AUUAACGCUGGCGGCGUGCAUAACACAUGCAAGUCGAACGAUGAAACUUUAAUGAACCCUUCGGGGAGAAUUAAAGCGGAUUAGUGGCGAACGGGUGAGUAACGCGUGAGUAACCUGCCUUACACAAGGGGAUAGCCUUUGGAAACGAAGAAUAAUACCCUAUAAAACCAUAAAAGCACAUGCAAUUAUGGUCAAAGUGAUAGCGGUGUAAGAUGGACUUGCGUCUGAUUAGCUAGUUGGUGAGAUAAAAGCCCACCAAGGCAACGAUCAGUAGCCGGCUUGAGAGAGUGUACGGCCACAUUGGGACUGAGACACGGCCCAGACUCCUACGGGAGGCAGCAGUGGGGAAUUUUGCACAAUGGGGGAAACCCUGAUGCAGCGACGCCGCGUGAUUUAGAAGGCCUUCGGGUUGUAAAAAUCUUUUGUAUAGGAAGAAAAUGACAGUACUAUACGAAUAAGGUCCGGCUAAUUACGUG
rnacentral:rRNA from 1 species